ensembl:miRNA
AGGAUAGAGCUUUGCGCAUUGUAGGCAAGUGCUCUACCACUGAGCUACAUUGCCAGUUCUAACCCUG